rnacentral:rRNA from 1 species
AUGCACGCUGGCGGCGUGCCUCAUCCCUGCCAGUCGCGCGAACAGACGAGGAGCUUGCUCCUCUGACGUUAGCGGCGGACGGGUGAGUAACACGUGGAUAACCUACCUAUAAGACUGGGAUAACUUCGGGAAACCGGAGCUAAUACCGGAUAAUAUAUUGAACCGCAUGGUUCAAUAGUGAAAGACGGUUUUGCUGUCACUUAUAGAUGGAUCCGCGCCGCAUUAGCUAGUUGGUAAGGUAACGGCUUACCAAGGCGACGAUGCGUAGCCGACCUGAGAGGGUGAUCGGCCACACUGGAACUGAGACACGGUCCAGACUCCUACGGGAGGCAGCAGUAGGGAAUCUUCCGCAAGGGGCGAAAGCCUGACGGAGCAACGCCGCGUGAGUGAUGAAGGUCUGCGGAUCGUAAAACUCUGUUAUUAGGGAAGAACAAAUGUGUAAGUAACUAUGCACGUCUUGACGGUACCUAAGCAGAAAGCCACGGCUAACUACGU